UACAGAGGUCCCAAGCGUUGUUCGGAUUCACUGGGCGUAAAGGGUGCGUAGGUGGCGCUGUAAGUCGGGUGUGAAAUCCUGAGGCUUAACCUCGGAACUGCAUUCGAUACUGCGGCGCUUGAGGACUGGAGAGGAGACUGGAAUUCAUGGUGUAGCAGUGAAAUGCGUAGAGAUCAUGAGGAAGACCAGUGGCGAAGGCGGGUCUCUGGACAGUUCCUGACACUGAGGCACGAAGGCCAGGGGAGCAAACGGG
rnacentral:rRNA from 1 species